rnacentral:rRNA from 1 species
UACGUAGGGUGCAAGCGUUGUCCGGAAUUAUUGGGCGUAAAGAGCUCGUAGGCGGCUUGUCGCGUCGGCUGUGAAAACCUGGGGCUCAACCCCGGGCCUGCAGCCGAUACGGGCAGCUAGAAUUCGGUAGGGGAGGACUGGAAUUCCUGGUGUAGCGGUGAAAUGACGCAGAUAUCAGGAGGAACACCGGUGGCGAAGGCGGGUCUCUGGGCCGAAAUUGACGCUGAGGAGCGAAAGCGUGGGGAGCGAACAGG